rnacentral:lncRNA from 1 species
GUCAGAGGGCAGCUUGCAGGAACUGAUUCUCUCCUUCUACGGAAUGGGUUCCAGAAGCACUCUCAGGCCAGAGAGACAGUUCGGCAAAGUCAUGUGCUGCCAACCCUGGCUACCUGAGUUUGAUUCCUAGAAUCUACAUGGUAGGAGAAAGCUGACCCUGGCAAGCUGUCCUCUGACCUCCACUCACAGCUAUGCCUUUAGACAUAUAUGCAGGCAGAACACUGUAUAUAAUAAAUAAAAACAUGAAGAAGGAGGAAGGAAGGAGGAGGAAGAAGGAAGAAGAAGGAAGAAGAAGAAGAAGAAAGAACAACUCCCUUCUGUUACCACCAGGAACACACUCCACUCCUGGGCAACUGUCAAAUGGGAAUCAAGGACCUAUGGUGAACCUUGGGCAAUUAUGGACAGACGGAUGGAGCCAGCCCGGGCCACAGAAGAACCUAAAGCAGACACAGCACAGCUGACUCCUUCACCCUCCUCUAGACCUCAUGGAAGCAUGGAGUGCACAGUGCCUGUACGAUGGGUUACUAUUUUGUAAUUCCCAUCUUUGCUUCAUUACCUCAUGUCUGCUGCUUUGACCAUAAACACAGACCAAAUGCCAAGACACAGACUACUGUCACCAGGAAACCCAACUGCUUGUACCAGACUCACCUUUAGGCUUUUGGACUGUUUGCUGUGUUGACUUAAAGAUGGCAGGGGACAAAAACAACACAUGGCACUGUGCUCAUGGAUUCCUCUUUGGUGAGGUCUUAAAACCCAGGGAACAGGGGCCUGGAGAGAUGGCUCAGAGGUUAAAAGCACUGACUGCUCUACCAGAGAUCCUGAGUUCAAUUCCCAACAACCACACGGUGGCUCACAACCAUCUAUAAUGAGAUCUGGUGCCCUCUCCCGGCCCACAGGCAAACAUGCAGGCAGAACAUUGUAUACAUAAUAUAUAAAAUCUUAAAAAAAAAAAAAAAACAGGAACCCAGGGCCAACCUGUCUCCCUUAUUACAGCUAACUGGCAUGAUCAUCCACUCCCAAUCCCACCCCCAGUGAAUGUACAUCUCCUCUUUUUCCUUCAUUCCUCUGCUCAAGGUCCUGUGAGCUAAGGAGAGUAACACAAGUAUUCCAGAAGUGCAGAGUACAGGCUUCUCUUCAUUAUGAAUCUCUUUGCAGCAGGAAAAGAAAGAAAAGGCGUUGAUUGUCUCCACUUGCACAUAACUUGUGACACAAAAAGAUCCCUGUCAAAUAAUCCUCCCUUAAUACGUUCCCUUUGCCAUUGUAAACUGAGACAUGACCUCCAAGCAUUAAUACCCAGACAAUACAACAUUUGUGUGCUGUUUAAUUAGCUUAUUACUUUUGUUAAUGUACAUUCCUGUGGUUGCUCUACUCUCCGCUCAACCUGAAAUAAAAACUACAUGGGAUUAAAAA